GGAGGAGGGGAGGGGAGGAGGGAGCAGGAGAGGGGAGGGAAGAGGGGAGGGGGAGAGAAAUGGGGAAAAGGAGAGGACGAGGGGAGAGGGGGGAGGAGAGGGAUGUGAGGAGGGGAGGAAGCAGAGGGGAGGAGGAAGGGGAUGGUGUCCUCCAGGCCAGAAGAGGGCACAGCCAGGCAGGAGAGGCGCUGACCCCACCUCGUUAGUGAGAGGCCACUGUGGGGUACCCGACCUGGAACCAGGGAGCAGCACGUGCAGAGAAACGGGGUGGCCUGCUCUCUGGACCCUUGUGUCUCUCCUCCGUCUCUUCCCCUCCAGGGCCCCGGGCCAGGAGGGAGGCCCCUGUCCAGGUAAGAGGGGCUCGCGCAGACAUGUCAGCACACACACACACGUGCACAGGCACACGCACACACUCUAAGGAGUGGGCAUGUGGGAGGCAGGGGGUAGGAAGAGCAGAAGCCCAUCCUGGCAAAGGGAGUGUGGACGGCACAGGAUGGCCUCCUCGGGGUGCCGGGGAGGGGGCGGGGACACCAGCCUGCAGCCCACCCUCCCCUGUUGUGUGCGCAAGCGAAGGUAGUGGGUCUGGGGGUGAGGACAGGGUUACCAUCCUCCGAGUCAGCCCUGCCUCUCCCGGCCCACAGAGGAGCCACGCAAUACAGUGUCAAUCGGGGGGAAACCACGAGUUACAGGCCCCAUGGGCAAAGACCCACACCACCCCUCCUACAGGAAAUCCAGGCCCCUGCAACUCAGCCUGUGAAAAGUCUCCAUCACCCUGAACCCUUGCUUUUCUCCAGUGGGCUUUGGUUCAGGACCCCUCCCAUUUCCUUCUUCUCCAUAAAAUAAUGUUUCUCUCCUUUGUUGGACUUGUCUGUGGUUUUGCCGUUAGCUUGCAUAUCCCAAAUUGCAAUUCUGUGCUAUUCCCCAAUCAACCCAUAUCUGCUGGUAAAAUAACUUUCAUUCUUAAGGUCAACAUGACCAUUUAGUAAAGGGCCGGAGCCUCAAAGGAGGGGUCUUGCCUCACCCAGAAUGCCCAGCCUUGGCCACUGGACAGGCACUGCCCCCGAGUCAGGAAAACAGCCCAGGCCUGGCCUCAUCCUCAGGCCAGGAGGUAGCUUUGCUUCUCCACCGUGGCUGGGGCAUACAGGUAAGCUAGACCUGCCCACAUGUCACACAGGACCCAAUAGCCCAGGGAAUCUGUCCAUUCCCAGGUCCCUGUGCCAGCUGGGACUUCAACGUUCUGACCAGCGACCUAAACUGAUGGUCAAUCUCCCCCAGAAGACCUGGCCAGGACCCAGCCUCACUCCCCUUCUACUUCAAAGGCCACCUGAGUCCCAUCGCCCAGACUAUCCACCAUCACCCCCCACCCUUUCCCACCUUCUCACAGGACCCUAGCCACCCCCCCCCGC
rnacentral:lncRNA from 1 species